GGAGGGUGGGGGGAGUCCCCUCAGCCUAGAUUGUGAGAGGGCACAGGCCAGGCUGAGGGACCCCCACCAGUGCAUG
rnacentral:pre_miRNA from 1 species